GCUCUCGUAGGUCAAGUGGAUAGACCCGGGGUUUCCUAAACCUCUAAUCGCAGUUCGAGUCUGCGCGAGAGCA
rnacentral:tRNA from 1 species